AUGUAAGUAGACUGCAGAGUCUUGACCUGAGGAGUUGGCCCUUCUGUGUUGAGCCAUGCGUUUGUGUAGUGGUUGUUUAGUCUACUACUACUGCUAAUAAUAAUAAUGUCCCAGGGGGAAAUGAACCGAGCCGUGGCUCAAAAAUCGAGGUCUGACCUGAAUUGUGGAUUUGAUGAAUUGUUACACCCCUGCUCAUGAGCAUCAGAUAUUAUCUCGUGAGCACGAGAAACAUGGAUUUUAUUUUCAUUGUUAUUUAUUUUUUUGCCCAUGUCCUCUAAGGGGUUCUGUAAUAAUCAAAAUGCUUAACUGCAACAUAUAAUUACUUCAACUACUGUAUGUUGACAACAGGCAACAACAGAACUGGAACAACUGCUUUACAGCUUGGCAUCGGUGUCGUUUCGUUUAAGAUGACAUAUAAACACAGACUGCAACUAAACCAAAGUACUUCAGGGAUGAAGGUUAUUAUUAAUUGUCCAUCACAGUUGUCUUAACAAAGGGGUUCCCUCCAUCCCUUCGCCAAUGUGGAGCCUGUGUGUGCUCCACCUCCCUCUGGAUGACUUUCUAAUGCUGCAUACCUACAUCAGCAUCAUGCACAGCUCUACCAGUGUGACUGGGAACACUCUGAAACAAUGCAGGGUGGGCAUCACCAAAACUGCAUGUAUUUCAUCUAUGGCCUUCCUGCAAAUGACUAAGGUUUGCUGGAUGACACAAAGUCAAAAACAACUCCUCUGAUUUUGAAUUAAACAAUCUUUUAAUAGAAAUAAAUAGCCAUGAGGCUUGAACAGGUGAAAGUCCAGGUUGCGGUUUAUCUUGCUUUCUGUGCACCGCUUUCUUUCCCCACAACCCCCCUUUUCGCACUGAGCUGCAACCCACACAUACAACUUUUGUUGUGAAAUUACAACUAAUUAUACACUAAGAAUGUCUCAUGAAGUGGAUUUUACACUGUUACACUGACCAUACAAACUGUUUGUUACUAAGUUGUAAUUCUUCAGCAAUUAGCAGUACAUGUUUUUGUUUAAUUACAGAACAAAUCAGAUCUGCUUGGCAAUGGCUCAAAGAUAAACUUGCAUGCACACAAUAAGCUAAAGUUUGGCAACUAUUAAAGACAUUAAAGUUUCAAGAUGCCAGAAAGACUCCACCACAAAAACAUCAUGUCUAAAGACAGAGGUUCUGUAGCGUUAGUAUUGUCAUGUAAAACUAAUACAGCUAUUUAACUAAUUAGUAUUAGUUAAAUAGCAUGCUCAAUGUUUAUUUAUGAAGUGAAAGCAUGUAAACAUGAAAGAAAUGAAUGUAUUUUUAGAGAAUCUGAGAGUUUUGACACAAUAUAAUGAACACACAUACAAUUUAAUGCAAAACACCAAACAAUUCCCCAAAACCUCAGGUUCAAUAAUCAGUGGUUUUUAUUUAUAAAAUAACACACUUUCUACCUUCAUUUGGAAAAUGCUGUGGUAUUUUUUCAUUGUUGUAAAAAAUGCUGAGAAAGAUGAUUCGGGAAAAUGUUUUUUUUUAGUAUUUUUCUGAUAAAUCUGUGAGCAUUGUUUGAUAUUAAACCUAACAAGUAUUUGUAUGUAUUACUAUGCAUUUCAAACAUGUAGGGCCUGAUUUAGUAAAGGUUUGCCUGAAUAAAACGUGUGCAAACUUGAUAUCACCAGCAAAUUAGCACGUAUGCUGAUCUACUAGUGUGCACAGAGAAUGACAUCUUUCAAAAGCAAGAUAGCACCUGUUGUUCAUUUAGUACGUAAGAAUAUGCAAUUUGGGGCAUAACAUGCAAAUACAUUUAUUUACUACACGAAAUGUGAUCUACCAAGCCUAAACACAAUUUCACGUGAGUGCAAAAGUCUCUGUAUUUAAUACGUUUGAAAGGAAGGUGCAAACCGCCAGGUGUAACAUAGAGGUGGCUGUUGUUAUUGUUGCCAGAAGGAGACACAACCUUAAUGAAAGACAAAGUAGAGAAAUUAACAGUAUUAGAUAAUAUUACUCUAUAGCCAAUGUAUUGAAAUACAAUUAUUUUAUUUUAUUUAUAGGCUACUGUUGUAUAAACAUUCAUGCCAACAAAGCAAA